rnacentral:tRNA from 1 species
GGGGAUGUGGCUCCAUGGAAGAGCCCCUGCUUGGCAUUGCAAAAGAUCCCAGGUUCGAUCCCCAGCACCUCCA